rnacentral:sRNA from 1 species
CCCUAGCCCUGAUUGAAGUGAAAAUCCUUUUCGCUUAAGUGAGAUUUCUGGUUUCACCCGAAGCGCAAAAAAGCGAAAAGAUUGUAACGGAAAGCAGGUUCCCGG